rnacentral:misc_RNA from 1 species
GGCGCGGCGAUCUGUUCCUCCCCUUCCAGCAUCCUGACAACGCUGCCCAUGGACGGCCUAUCCUCCGGCCGAUACUGCACGCACCACAGCGCCACCUUGCACACUCUCUCUGCCAUCUCCCUGUCUCUCUUACCCCCUGUCGCCGCAGCACGCGCCACCACGGCAUCCGUGUCCCCCGCCUCGGACUGGUGCCACACCCACCGCGGGUACCACUCCUGGCUCUCGCGGGCGUGCGGCCCGAGCUCCAGGUUCCGGCGCCUCCCCAGCGUCUCGAACAGCAGCAUCCCGUAGCUGUAGACGUCGCACUUGUGCGUCACCGGCAGCGGCAUCCACAGCUCGGGCGCCGCGUACCCGGGGGUGCCCCGCGCGCCGGUGAUCGUCAGGUACCGCAGCGCCUUGGCCGUGCCGACGGCGAUCUCGCAGAGCUUGCCGAAGCCGACCGUCCUCUCCGGCGUCGGGUCGAACAGGUACCCGUCCAGCGAGCCGUUCUCCAUGUGCUCGUACACGAGCGCCUUCACCGUCGCGUCGAAGCAGAAGCCGUAGAGGCGGACGAGGUUGAUGUGGUAGGUCCGCCCGAUGGUGCCCACCUCCGCCAUGAACUGCUCCUCGGCGCGCUUGCCCAGCGUGCUGUUCAGCACCUUCACGGCCACAGCCGCGCCGUUGGGGAACCGGCCCUUGUACACCACGCCGAAGCCGCCGGACCCGACCUUGUGCGCGUAGUUCCGGGUGAAGGCGCGCAGCUGCCGCGAGCUGAACCGCACCGGCCGCUCAUUCUGGAUGUCCUCGAAGAAGUAGCUCAUGCUCCCCAUCUCCACGUCGUCGUCGUCGUCCGUGCUACCGCGCUCGCCGCCGGCGCGGGUGAUGGACGCCUCGGCCUCGCGGUCGCGGUCGCGGUCGCGGUCGCCUCCGCCUCGUUGUUGCAGAUACGUCUCAACGCCGAAUUUGGCGCACUUGUACAUCCCGACUACGAUGACGACCGACACUAUGCCAGUCGUGAUGGUCGCAACUGCAAAGCCGGCAAGGGAUUAAUUAGAAGGAGCGACGUGUUGGGGCCGUGGAGGCGAAGCUAAUGUACAUGGCGAUUGCCGAUUUUACCGAUUACUAUGGCGAGAAUUCCACCGUCGAGCGCCAUCGAUCUCUUCUUGGUCAGAACCCACUUCGGUACAGGGAGGGAUCGGACUGGAGCUGAACCGUUGAAGGAAGACGGGAGAGGGGAGAGUGAAGAAAGGUUCUGUUCAACCAACUAAUAAACUGUGUGCUCCCUGUACCCUGCUAAGUAUAUAUACAUCGGCAACAGCAUUAAUUGUUUCAUA